rnacentral:rRNA from 1 species
CCUACGGGAGGCAGCAGUGAGGAAUAUUGGUCAAUGGCCGUAAGGCUGAACCAGCCAAGUCGCGUGAAGGAAGAAGGAUCUAUGGUUUGUAAACUUCUUUUAUAGGGGAAUAAAGGUAUCCACGUGUGGAUAUUUGCAUGUACCCUAUGAAUAAGCAUCGGCUAACUCAGUGCCAGCAGCCGCGGUAAGACGGAGGAUGCGAGCGUUAACCGGAUUUAUUGGGUUUAAAGGGUGCGUAGGUGGUUUUUUAAGUCAGGGGUGAAAGUUUGUGGCUCAACCAUAAAAUUGCCGUUGAAACUGGAAGACUGGAGUGUGUUUGAGGAAGGCGGAAUUCGUGGUGUAGCGGUGAAAUGCAUAGAUAUCACGCAGAACUCCGAUUGCGAAGGCGGCUAACUAGGCCAUAACUGACGCUGAAGAACGAAAGCGUGGGGAUCAAACAGGAUUAGAUACCCCUGUAGUC